rnacentral:lncRNA from 1 species
CUGGUAGGCUGGGGCGAGAGUAGAGGACCAGGGAGCUCCAGUCAGUAUAGUACAGAGAGUGGCUGGGCUGGUGGAGGGAGAGUAGAGGGACUGGGGAGCUCCAGUCUAGUGGUACAGGGAGUGGCUGGCUGGCUGGAGGGAGAGUAGAGGGACUGGGGAGCUCCAGUCUAGUGGUACAGAGAGUGGCUGGUGGCUGGAGGAGAGUAGAGGGACUGGGAGCUCCAUCUAGUGGUACAGAGAGUGGGCUUGUGGAGGGAGAGUAGAGGACUGGGGAGCUC